AGAACCAAUAAAGAUUUCUUUUUCGAUUCAUUCCUGGAGUUGAAUACCUCAUUCAAGAAUUGUUUUUGCUCCAAUCCGUAGGAAAAAAUAGAAAAGGCAAAUCCCUUAUGAUACACCAGAUCCGGCUCGGUUAUUGAUAGAGUGAAUAGAUCUGCCAUUUCUUGAAAUCUCUCUUCUGAUUCAAAAUCGUGGUGUAACGUGGAUCCCCCCCUGUUCCGGUCAUGGAAUAGAUGAAAUAAAUCAAAAAAUGGAUUUUUGUUUAAGAAUGAAAUCUUAUUGGAACUGUCCAUAUCCAGUUCAUCCUUCGGAACCAUAUCACAUCCCGGAUCUGAUGAAAUAGGAUGAAUUGAGACGGUAUUUUGUAAAUACGUAAUUAUCUUGAAUAUAUUAACUAUUUCUUUAUUUUCCGAUCGCCUGGAAGGGACAAAAGAAACAUCCUCUUCUUUCUUCAACAAUUUCUGAUCUCUAGUGGACCUCUCAGUAGGAUUCGAACCCAGAUGAAGUUCUGACCAUCUGUCAGAGAAAAAAGAACGAAUGGAUCUUGCAGGAUUCCCAAGAAAUUCUUCGAUUUCUUCCGGAAGCAGAUGCUUAUUCAUCUGCCUUUCACGUUCCGUGAAUAGCCGGGACAUUGAGGAAUAUCCAGAAAGACAUUUAGGGAAUCGGUCUGAUUCUAUCUCUCUUCGUUCCGCUUGAAGAAAAGAAGGAUCCCAAAGAAUCGAUCUUUCUUUUAGUUGUUGAAUCUCUCUUUGAUUGAUCAAUGUGUGAUAUUCCGAAUCCUCAUUACUAAUGGAAUCGAAAUGAUCUCUGGAUUGAUCAGAAGAUCCUUUCAAUUGGCUAGAAUCCGUUACUUGAACGAAACUAGAUCUUGUGGAAUCAUAUUGAAUAUUUGACGAUACAUUCCGUACCUUGGUAAAAAAUCGAUCCUUGUUUACCAACCACACAUUGUCUAACCAAAUCCAAUUCUCUCUCGCUAUGUUCCUCAAAAAAUCCGAUUCGUGCGGAUUCUUCCCCCAACUAACGAAGAGAUCUUGGCGGAAUUGCCACAUAUGAAAUUGAGCACAAUUUUGCAAAGAAAUAGCCCACUUGUUUCUCAAGAAGAGAUGGGAAAAACGCUCAAUAUCAUUUGAUUGAAUAGUUGACCCAGCCCCUUGUUGUUUGAGGAAACCCCCCACUUCAAUUGGUAUUUUUUCACGAAAAGCAAACAUGAGAUAACAAAUCCAGUCUUUCACUAAGAUUUCGAAUAGAUGUCCCGAAUUCAAGUUGAUUAUGUUUCGCCUCUUACUCGGAGAAAGACGAUCAAACAAUUCCCAAUCAUGGUCCUUGCGGAUCGGAUCAUCCAUAUAAUAUACAAAAAGAAACUCCAGAUAUUUGAGAUCUUUCUCUUUGAAUGAGAUCUCAAUUCCAGCGACGGUUUCAUUAGAUAUCUUACAACUAGAAUCCCUCUUUUUUCCGAGCCAGUUCCUCCACCACCGCGAACCCCAGUUAGAUUCAGGCAUGAUACACCUUUUAGUUAUUGGGAGAACCCAAGUACUCUCUUUCGGAUCCAGGAAAAAGCUCUCAGAGAUCUUUUUUCCUUUUGGAAGAUACAGGAGCGAAACAAUCAACCUAUUGAUAUUGGAAGACCCAAAAGAUUCUUCCAAUGUAUCAGUUCUGGGUCCAAUGAAUUCAUAUAGGAAGAACCUGUCAAUAGAGAUUUUUCUUCGACCAUAUUUCGAUUGUUAAUACGAUAUAAGGAUCGCUACUACAAACAGUACUACACAUUGAUCGUGAAAUAUCGAUUGCUUGUUGAACCCUGUGAAUUGCGUGAAAGUAGGAUACUAAAUUCGUGAAAAAAAAUAAAAAAAAAAUAAAAAAAAAAAAAGAAAAAAAAAAAAAAAAAAAAAAAAAAAAAAAAAAAAAAAAAAAAAAAAGAAAAAAUAGAAUCAUGAAGAAGAUACAUUGAAGAAUCUUUUGGGUCUUCAAUAUCAAUAGGUUGAUUGUUUCGCUCCUGUAUCUUCCAAAAGAAAAAAGAUCUCUGAGAGCUUUUUCCUGGAUCCGAAAGAGAGUACUUGGGUUCUCCCAAUAACUAAAAGGUGUAUCAUGCCUGAAUCUAACUGGGGUUCGCGGUGGUGGAGGAACUGGCUCGGAAAAAAGAGGGAUUCUAGUUGUAAGAUAUCUAAUGAAACCGUCGCUGGAAUUGAGAUCUCAUUCAAAGAGAAAGAUCUCAAAUAUCUGGAGUUUCUUUUUGUAUAUUAUAUGGAUGAUCCGAUCCGCAAGGACCAUGAUUGGGAAUUGUUUGAUCGUCUUUCUCCGAGUAAGAGGCGAAACAUAAUCAACUUGAAUUCGGGACAUCUAUUCGAAAUCUUAGUGAAAGACUGGAUUUGUUAUCUCAUGUUUGCUUUUCGUGAAAAAAUACCAAUUGAAGUGGGGGGUUUCCUCAAACAACAAGGGGCUGGGUCAACUAUUCAAUCAAAUGAUAUUGAGCGUUUUUCCCAUCUCUUCUUGAGAAACAAGUGGGCUA
rnacentral:lncRNA from 1 species